UUUAAGUAGUCGUAAAUACACUAUUCUUAUUUUAAAUAAACAAUAUACAAUUUUAUCAAAAUACAUUAAUUGCAAUUUAAAGGCCAUUGCACCUGCAUGACACUGUGUUGUUUCCGUCUUAUACUCUGACGACAUAACAUAUUUUUGUUCGCUAAUUUCAAUAGGGUGCUGCCAGUUUUCAUAUUAGAGAAAAUUGGCUUAUUAUCAAACUUUUAAUAACAAUAUUAUCUGUGUUCUCUCGUUGGAUUUUUACGAUAUUUUAAUUUUUAAGUGAAUUAUGAGUAGGCAAUACAAUAAUAUUUGAAAAUGCCCAUAAUGCUAAUAUUUAUUUCUAACUCGGUAGUCGGUAGGUACUCACUACUUGCAAGUAAGAAUCGUGUAAUAGUCAACAAUAACAUUAGCAAUACAUAACCCAUUAAAAUUUAAUGUUUGCAAAAACUCAAAUUUAAGGUGUUUGAUAUAGGCAAUUUGAAUGAUGUUUGAGAAGUAUUAAAAAUUUAAAUAUUAAAUUUAUAUACUUUAAAACAACCCUAUUUAGAGUAUAUUAAAAUUGGUGCCGUGUCAAAUAAAAAAAUAAAUGAUAACCACUCUAAUGGCAUUGAUGACGACUUUCAAAAUAUAUUGACUGUAUUACAUAAUAUUAAAUAUUUAUUUGUUUAUAUUUUCUGUUAAAUUUUUAUUUUAGAUUACCAAUUACUUAUACAAUUAUCAUCCAAGAUUAGAAUAUUAUUAUUUUGGAAUGGACGUAUUUAACUUGAAUAUACAACAAAGUCGCGAUCUCGGUAUUCCAAGCUACACGCAAUUUGGAAAAUAUUGUGGACUAAAAAGUAAAAAAUAUAGAUAUUGAACAAGAUUUGUUGAGAUCAUAAAGCCAGUUAAUUCAAUUAAUAAAUUGAAGCAGUACACAACUUGGAACGAUGUAUAGAGCUAUUGACACGAAGAUGACACAACGGUUAGCCCAACGAUAAGGUGUAUCAUUAGAGAACAGUUUAUAAGAACUAGAAUAAUUUUCUGAUAGAUAUCUUCUAUUUAUUAUUUCUAUGAUUUACCAAAAGUAUUCAUCGAAUCUAAAGGUAUUUGUGAAUUUGACAUUGAUAUAUAAUUUUUAAUUCUAUAGAAAUGUUAUUCAUAAAAAAUAAUAUAAUAUACCGUUAACAUUUCCUUAAUGGAAUUGUUCUUUUCAUAAAGUGUAUAUCCAAACUUCAUGAAACAAUCCAUAUCAAGGAUAAUACAUUUUUUACACAAUAUGGAUGAAUACUUUUGUGGAAUGGAUAGUUCUGUACAUUUUACAUGGAUAACAUUUUAUUAAAUAAAUAUUUUUUGGCAUUAUGAAAAUUGUUUAACCUAUUCAUCACUAUUACAAAAUACCAUAACUGCAUAA